GUCCAUUGGGGAGCAUGAGAGCUGAGGGUCCAUCAACCAGGGAGACCACACCAUUGCAGUCCACGGCACUGUGCAUCUUCCCAUUCACCGGCAGCACCGGGGGGGACCUACUGGCUUGGCUGAUGUUACUGCUGCGCCGCUCCCGAGGUCUGUGGGGCACAAACAGUGAGCCCCUCCUGCUUUCACUGUCUCCGAAAAUGCUAUGCUCAUCGUCGGCAAAUUCAGUCUCAGAGCCGAUAUCUUUCCCUCGACCUUUGAAACUAAAAAGACUUGUUCUGCUGCUGCGCCUUCCAGAAAACAAGGAGCCUCGAAUGCUGAGUGGUGACUGCAGAAAAGAGAAGAGAUGACACUUAUCUGCUGAAGCACCAAGAAUAGAGCACACAGAACUGGCUACUGACAUGGCUGAGUGGAGGUCAGGUGGCUCCACUCUGGUUUAAAAGGAACAUAGUUAAAAACAAAGAAAUCCGGCAGCAAGACAAAUUCUUCCAAAUAAGGGAUGAAAAGAUAGGAUGAAUUCAUCCUUUUAGGAACAGCACUUUUAGAACUCAGUUUGGAUGUUUCAGAGGAACUCUCAGAGAAGCCCAUCAUUCUGCUUCUCCCAAUACUUGUGUAUUCAGCUGCUGCUAUUGCAAUCGCCUGUUGGACCAAGAGGCCACACAUACAAGGUUCCCAUGUUGCACUCUGCAGUGGUUCCCAGCAACACAUGAGAAAGUCUGCCUCCCCACAUCUCAGCCAGACAACGCCUCUUUUGAGCUCCAUCAUUCUAACAGGGUACACAGAGCCUGGUGAAGAAAUAUCUGGUCGGGGGAGAACAAGAACAAAGGCAAUCCAGCAGAAAUAAGGUGAUGUAUAGGAGAAACUACAAGAUGGGCAUUUUGCAUAUAUGGGAGAUUCUUAAAAUAUCUUUACCGAAAUCCAUGGGUUCCUUUUGUUUAGGGUGCCAAAUUGUCACUGCAUUCAUUCACCUAUGAGUCAUUCUUGAUUGGAAAUAGAAUUUGGGAAUGGAAGAAAAAGUUGAUUCUGUAACUCUUCUUUCCAGAAAAAGAAAGACUUGAAACUAUCCAGGCAACUUUUGGUGGAGUUUUCCAGCUUCAUUUUCUUAAGAUUCAUAUGACUUGUAUCUUGUUUGAAUUCAAGCACUACCUCCAAGUUUUGCUUUCAGAAGUAGGCACUAACAGGGACGCCUGGGUGGCUCAGUGGUUAAGCGUCUGCCUUUGGUUCAGGGCGUGACCCAGAUUCCUGGGAUCGAGUCCCACAUUGGGCUUUCUGCAGGGAGCCUGCUUCUCCCUCUGCCUGUGUCUCUGCCUCUCUAUGUGUCUUUCAUGAAUGAAGAAAUAAAAACCCUUUAAAAAAAAAGAAGUAUGCACUAACCAUAAAUUUUUAAAGUUGGGACUCACUGUGGGACAGAAUAAUGCCAUGAUAUAUAUGAAAACAAUAUAAAAAUCAGAGGUUCUUACUUAAAAAAAAAAACUGAUUGGAUAUGCUUUUCCUUUUUUUUGUAGCCUUUGACUAAAAACAAAUAUUACUUACCCUGAAUCUGUGCUCAAACCACAAAGGAGAGCAUCCUUAGAUCCCUCUAAGUAAUAAAAAUAUUCUGUUUAGGAAGAAAUUCAACAAUAUAACAUUAGAGAGUGCAAGCUUUAAGAGUGACAAAUUGAUGAUAAAUUAAUUAGUAUAGGCAUAUUCACACACACAUUCAGGCCCAGUCUCAAGCAAUGUACAAUCAUUUAUUUAUCAUAUUCUUGUAUAUUCUCCUUCAAAGAU